CCUACGGGUGGCAGCAGUGAGGAAUAUUGGUCAAUGGACGCAAGUCUGAACCAGCCAUGCCGCGUGCAGGAAGACGGCUCUAUGAGUUGUAAACUGCUUUUGUACGAGGGUAAACGCAGAUACGCGUAUCUGUCUGAAAGUAUCGUACGAAUAAGGAUCGGCUAACUCCGUGCCAGCAGCCGCGGUAAUACGGAGGAUUCAAGCGUUAUCCGGAUUUAUUGGGUUUAAAGGGGGCGUAGGCGGUCGGAUAAGUUGGGUGUGAAAUCCCGAGGCUCAACUUCGGAAUUGCCUCUGAUAAUGUGGGGAGAGAGAGUAGUUGGGGAAGGGGGAAUGUAGGGUGGAGGGGUGAAA
rnacentral:rRNA from 1 species